rnacentral:rRNA from 1 species
UACGUAGGGUGCAAGCGUUAAUCGGAAUUACUGGGCGUAAAGCGUGCGCAGGCGGUUUUGUAAGUCUGAUGUGAAAUCCCCGGGCUCAACCUGGGAAUUGCAUUGGAGACUGCAAGGCUAGAAUCUGGCAGAGGGGGGUAGAAUUCCACGUGUAGCAGUGAAAUGCGUAGAUAUGUGGAGGAACACCGAUGGCGAAGGCAGCCCCCUGGGUCAAGAUUGACGCUCAUGCACGAAAGCGUGGGGAGCAAACA